rnacentral:rRNA from 1 species
GACGAACGCUGGCGGCGUGCUUAACACAUGCAAGUCGAACGGAAAGGCCCUGCUUUUGUGGGGUGCUCGAGUGGCGAACGGGUGAGUAACACGUGAGUAACCUGCCCUUGACUUUGGGAUAACUUCAGGAAACUGGGGCUAAUACCGGAUAGGAGCUCCUGCUGCAUGGUGGGGGUUGGAAAGUUUCGGCGGUUGGGGAUGGACUCGCGGGUUAUCAGCUUGUUGGUGGGGUAGUGGCUUACCAAGGCUUUGACGGGUAGCCGGCCUGAGAGGUUGGCCGGCCACAGUGGGACUAAGAGACGGCCCAGACUCCUACGGGAGGCAGCGGUGGGGAAUAUUGCACAAUGGGCGGAAGCCUGAUGCAGCAACGCCGCGUGCGGGAUGACGGCCUUCGGGUUGUAAACCGCUUUCGCCUGUGACGAAGCGUGAGUGACGGUAAUGGGUAAAGAAGCACCGGCUAACUACGUG